rnacentral:rRNA from 1 species
CUCGUAGGCGGCCAACUAAGUCGGACGUGAAAUCCCCAGGCUCAACCUGGGAACUGCGUCCGAUACUGGAUGGCUUGAAUUCGGGAGAGGGAUGCAGAAUUCCAGGUGUAGCGGUGAAAUGCGUAGAUAUCUGGAGGAAUACCGGUGGCGAAGGCGGCAUCCUGGACCGACAUUGACGCUGAUGAGCGAAAGCCAGGGAGCAAACG